UGAUAUAAUGCUCCAUAGUUUUCAAGAAAUUUAUGCAUAUUUACUUGUUAUAUAAUUGUAUCUUACAAAUAGUGGUCAUUUAAAAUAGAGCAUUGUGUUCUGAUAGAAGUCAAGUAAACAAAAACAUAGAUAUGAGCAAUUACCAAGAAUUAAUGAAGUUGUUAUCUGUACAUCCUAAAGAGACAAAUGCAUGGUAUAACUGCUGUCAUAUGAACGAGGCAAGUGACUGGCAUUCUCAUUUUAAGAGGUGCCAGGAGAUGCUUGAGAUCAUUUGACUCGCAAAACUAAACUUGGAGGCACUCCAAGAUGUGGGAUUUCUUUAUUGAUUAGCAAGUUGACUUGUUCAAAUCUUUGUUUCAAAUCCUCUUAAAGAUGAUCCCUCUAUACAUUUCCAUUUUAACAGAAAAAUCCUAAUUUGCAACUUCGAGAAAGUUAAAAACCUGCCUACUGUUUUGUUUUUCUAGGUUUAUUAUGUGCGUCUUUAAUCGAAUAUGUUUAACUCAACUCAACUCAAAUAUGCCUUAUUUCCAAACUUGUUGGGGUCAGCUACAUGGAUUUGUUUCCUCCAUUCCACCGAAGGCUUAGAGCUACGUCUUCUUAAAUUAUCUAAGGCCGCUAAGUUUGUUUUUAUUGCUUCCCUCACAUCUAUACUCCCUUUUUUUUCAUCCCUUGCCACUUCAAUGUUUCAACCCUGGUAUUUUUGGUUCUUGGUUUUACAAGUGCUGCAUGUAAAGGGCUGUGAUGGAAUACAAAAUUUAAAAUCAUAGCACUUUUGAUUUUGGUAUAGAUGGUUGUUUUUAAUAGUCUCUAUUUUUGUGAAAUCUUUCGAUCUUACUCAUAGUUUAUCUGGAUCUCAUGUUGCAUUUAACUAACAUAUAUUCUGUGUUAUUCUUAAAAACUCUCAAAUUGAAGAGCGGCUAUGGACA
rnacentral:misc_RNA from 1 species